rnacentral:lncRNA from 1 species
AUAUUUUUUUUUAAAAAUUCAUCAGUCUCAUUGCGAUUAUUAAAAAAAUAUUUUUAUUAUAUAUUUUUCUCAAAUAAUUUGGUGUGAUUGGCUGAUUGGAUUUCCUUGUACACUACAUUUUAAUAGAUGCGUUUUAUGGUAUUAAAAAAAAAGUUAAUUUCAUAUAGGUCCCCCGAACAUAAUAAAUUACAAAUUUAUCCUUACAAAGUUUAACUUGUUGACUUAAAUGGGCCAACAUCCUACCCUAUGGCAGGAGGUCAUGUUGGGUCGAAUCAUGUUCGAAAUGGCGUGAGGCUCGGUGGGCCGAGUCAUGUUCGAAGUUGCGUGAUGCUGAUUGGGCCGAGUCACAACCGAGACCUGUGGGCACUGUAUCUGUACAUUUUAAGUGAAUUGGUUGCGUAUUUCUAAUAACUCGAGCUUUUGGCCAGAUUAAUGAUUAGCGCCAAUAAUCGGACACAACAUUCAUAUGUUGUUCCUACAAAAGUUUUAAUAUUUUCAAAUAUAUCCUUCUGAUUUUUUAUCGUUAAAAUAUUGUUUAUUUUAUAAGUAAAAUGACUUUUUUGCCAUCACAAAUAUAUCUCUCCAAAAAUCCGAACUGUUAAGUGAAGAGGGAUAAAAAUGUCAAUUCAUCUCAUUAACUAACUAGAGUCAAGUAUUUUAGCUAUAAUUAACUAAUUUUUUCUAACGGAUUUUAACAUCAAGACUUUUGCAGGGACAACAUGUAAAAGUUGAACUUUGUAGAAAUAUAUUUGCAAUUCACUGUGUUUGUAAAGACAUGUAUGAAAUUAACUUUUUUUAAAAAAAUAGGGGUUUUGCUUAUUCAUUUCUGACUAUGUACUAUUUAAAAUUUUUAAAUUUAUUCUGAAAUUAUCAAAAUACUCUUCUAAUAUAUCCUUCGAAACUUCAGAAUAUCUAAUUUAUCCCUACUUUUUUCUUUUCAAAUAUACCCUUUAUAUGUUCCUCUGUUAUCUAAAAAUGUCCCCGCAAUUAUCACCCGUUAAGUUAUCUCGAGUUAAACGUGAGUAAAAUAUCUACCAAAGUUUUAAAAAAUCAAAAUAUUUUUUUUGUCCUUAACUUUUGGUGAUGGUAAAAAAAUAUAUUUGAAAGGACAAAAAAUUAAAGUAAGCAAAUAAGAAAAGUUGGUAAUGGUAGAAUGGGUAUAUUUGAAAGGACAAAAUAAUAAUUUUAUAGAGAUAGCGGUUUGUUGCUAAUAGUUUACUAAUAAAAUUUAACUGUAGGAAUAUAUUUGAAAUAACUUGAACGUUAAAGGGUAUUUUUAAUAUUAGUUUUUUAAAGAAGAUAAAUUAGAAAGUCAAAACUUUUCAAAGAUAUAUAAACAACUACUCUUUUUAUAUAUAUAACUGCUUUUAGACUGUGUGCGUACCUAAAGAUUGUAUUUAUUAAAUAAAUAAAAUUUUAAAUUUCAAUUAUUAAUUAUUAAAAUUUAUGUUAAAUUUCAAAUAUUACUUCUGUGGUUUCGCACUUUCUCACUUUAGUACCAUAUGGUUUAGAAUGUAUCAAUUUAGUACCCAGUGAUUUUAUUAUUAUUAUUUUUUGUUAGCUCCUUUAUUAACAUGUCAUUAAAUUAUAUACAAAAAAAUAUCAAAUACCCUAUUUAUAUUUAUCGAAUAUUUAUUUUAGUACCCUUUAGUUUUAACUUUAUCACUGAUUUAACAAGACAAAAUUAAUGAAAAAAAUAAUCAAAAGAAAUAAAACUAUAUGGUACUAAAUUGAUAUAUUUUAAAUUAUAAUAUACUAAAAUGAAAAAAAUGUGAAACUUGGGGGUACGAAACGUGUGGUACACCGGGUGGGGUCGGUGGAGGUACAUGGUAGCAGAGUCUAGAAGGAGCAGAAAAGGCAGGAGUGAUUCUAGAGAGGUCUAAAAUCCUCCCCCUUCUCGAUUGUUUCCGCUGCUGCCUGCUGUAGCGGAUGGGACUUUGCUGAAAUUUCUUCAGUCUUCCAAACGAUCCGAUAAUUGCCGGGGCCCAGGCUGAAUUAUAGAAAAUCUCUCGUAUAAAUAUUUAUUUAUUUAUUUUUAACAUUUUUUAAAAAUUUAAUAUUUUUUAUUUUUUUAAAAAUAUUUAAAAAUAUUUUCAGCAUGGUACGAUGUUAAUAAAGAAAAAAAAAAAGAUCAAAUUGUCCACACUUCUUUUAUAAAAUUUUUUUAAAAAAAUAUAUUUUUGUUAGACGAAAUUGUGGUGGAACCGUGACGUUUUAGCUGGAAAUGUGAAUCAACAAUGAUUCGAACUUGGGUCUCAGGUACCAACCACCAAACCCUUUGCCACUUGCUCUAGGGACGGUCGGUAGGAACUUGAAAUGUUGAUCGGUAAAAUAUAGAUUUUUAAAAUGUUAGAAAGUGAAAGUAAAAAAAAGGGUAUUUAUAAAGGAAAUUUACUGUGAUUUAGUUAUGAUUUAAAAAUCGACUCGGCCUGUCCGACCGUUAGCCAGUGUAUGAAGUGAUUUGAUUUAA